rnacentral:rRNA from 1 species
AUUGAACGCUGGCGGCAUGCUUUACACAUGCAAGUCGAACGGUAACAGGCCUUCGGGUGCUGACGAGUGGCGAACGGGUGAGUAAUGCAUCGGAACGUACCCAGAGGUGGGGGAUAACGCAGCGAAAGCUGUGCUAAUACCGCAUGUGAUCUGAGGAUGAAAGCGGGGGACCGAGCAGCAAUGUUUGGCCUCGCGCCUUUGGAGCGGCCGAUGUUGGAUUAGCUAGUUGGUGGGGUAAAGGCCUACCAAGGCGACGAUCCGUAGCUGGUCUGAGAGGACGACCAGCCACACUGGGACUGAGACACGGCCCAGACUCCUACGGGAGGCAGCAGUGGGGAAUUUUGGACAAUGGGCGCAAGCCUGAUCCAGCAAUGCCGCGUGCGGGAAGAAGGCCUUCGGGUUGUAAACCGCUUUUGGCAGGAACGAAACGGUGUCCGCUAAUACCGGGCGCUAAUGACGGUACCUGCAGAAUAAGCACCGGCUAACUACGUG